CCAAUAUAAAGGAUCAAAACUGGAGGAGGCAGGUGGCAGCGGGAGGAGGUAGUGAACUGGUCUGUCUGCCCAAUAUAAAGGAUCAAAACUGGAGGAGGCAGGUGGCAGCGGGAGGAGGUAGUGAACUGGUCUGUCUGCCCAAUAUAAAGGAUCAAAACUGGAGGAGGCAGGUGGCAGCGGGAGGAGGUAGGGAACUGGUCUGUCUGCCCAAUAUAAAGGAUCAAAACUGGAGGAGGCAGGUGGCAGCGGGAGGAGGUAGGGAACUGGUCUGUCUGCCCAAUAUAAAGGAUCAAAACUGGAGGAGGCAGGUGGCAGCGGGAGGAGGUAGUGAACUGGUCUGUCUGCCCAAUAUAAAG